CCGAACCCACUAAUGUUGAAAAAUUAGGGGAUGAGCUGUGGGUAGGGGUGAAAGGCUAAACAAAUCUGGAAAUAGCUGGUUCUCUCCGAAAACUAUUUAGGUAGUGCCUCACGUAUCACCUUUGGGGGUAGAGCACUGUUAUGGCUAGGGGGUCAUUGAGACUUACCAAACCAUUGCAAACUCCGAAUACCAAAGAGUGCGAGCGUGGGAGACAGACAUCGGGUGCUAACGUCCGGUGUCAAAAGGGAAACAACCCAGACCCUCAGCUAAGGUCCCCAAGACACAGUUAAGUGGGAAACGAAGUGGGAAGGCAUAAACAGUCAGGAGGUUGGCUUAGAAGCAGCCACCCUUUAAAGAAAGCGUAAUAGCUCACUGAUCGAGUCGUCCUGCGCGGAAGAUGUAACGGGG
rnacentral:rRNA from 1 species